rnacentral:rRNA from 1 species
CCUACGGGAGGCAGCAGGGAGGAAUAUUGGUCAAUGGACGCAAGUCUGAACCAGCCAUGCCGCGUGCAGGAAGACGGCUCUAUGAGUUGUAAACUGCUUUUGUACGAGGGUAAACGCAGAUACGCGUAUCUUUCUGAAAGUACCGUACGAAUAAGGAUCGGCUAACUCCGUGCCAGCAGCCGCGGUAAUACGGAGGAUUCAAGCGUUAUCCGGAAUUAUUGGGUUUAAAGGGUGCGUAGGCGGUCGGAUAAGUUAGAGGUGAAAUCCCGAGGCUCAACUUCGGAAUUGCCUCUGAUACUGUUCGGCUAGAGCGUAGUUGCGGUAGGCGGAAUGUAUGGUGUAGCGGUGAAAUGCUUAGAGAUCAUACAGAACACCGAUUGCGAAGGCAGCUUACCAAGCUACAUCUGACGUUGAGGCACGAAAGCGUGGGGAGCAAACAGGAUUAGAUACCCCAGUAGUC